rnacentral:rRNA from 1 species
CACGUAGGGCGCGAGCGUUGUCCGGAAUUAUUGGGCGUAAAGAGCUCGUAGGUGGUUUGUCGCGUUGUUCGUGAAAACUCACAGCUCAACUGUGGGCGUGCGGGCGAUACGGGCAGACUGGAGUACUGCAGGGGAGACUGGAAUUCCUGGUGUAGCGGUGGAAUGCGCAGAUAUCAGGAGGAACACCGGUGGCGAAGGCGGGUCUCUGGGCAGUAACUGACGCUGGAGGAGCGAAAGCGUGGGGAGCGAACAGG